rnacentral:sRNA from 2 species
CAAAAAAAUAUGCCGAAUCCGCACAAAAAAACAAAACUGGGAGCAAAGUGCGGUACGGGGGAACCGUUUUCGGGCAACGCCUGCACGGCGUGCCCAGGGGUGAAUCGCUGCCGGAAGCUUGCUAGUCCGGUAGCGUAGGGACAACCUUUCAACCGAACCCAUCAGCUUACCCCGGAGGCAAAGAAAGGGAGGAAGA